rnacentral:rRNA from 1 species
UCUCAUUCGGAUCGGAGUCUGCAACCCGACUCCGUGAAGCUGGAUUCGCUAGUAAUCGCGCAUCAGCCAUGGCGCGGUGAAUACGUUCCCGGGCCUUGUACACACCGCCCGUCAAGCCAUGGAAGCCGGGGGUGCCUGAAGUGUGCAGCCGCAAGGAGCGCCCUAAGGUAAAACCGGUGACUGGGGCUAAGUCGUAACAAGGUAUC